CCGCUUACGCCGGCAAUUCACCUCGGGUUGGCCAUUUUCGGUCGAAUUCAGCCACACUUGCAUCAGUCCCUGCGAUAAAACAACCCUAGGGCCCUAGGUGGGCAAAAAAAUCACGAAAAACUGAAACUUAUCGGCAGCGGUGCUCUCGGGUGCGACGGCUCCUCCAGCGUGAAUCGCGUUUUAAUGUUUGGCUCUGAUCAACCUGUAGAGAAAAGAACGGUGAUCACAGUGGUAUAAGAUUUGUAUCGAACAGAGGCUGGGAAGGGCCUCAUCAGAGGCAAAAAUCUAGGAGGGGCGCGGCAGCGCUGCUGGGCUUCGGCUGG
rnacentral:lncRNA from 1 species